rnacentral:rRNA from 1 species
AUUGAACGCUGGCGGCAUGCUUUACACAUGCAAGUCGAACGGCAGCGCGGGCUUCGGCCUGGCGGCGAGUGGCGAACGGGUGAGUAAUACAUCGGAACGUGCCCAGUAGUGAGGGAUAGCUCGGCGAAAGCCGGAUUAAUACCGCAUACGACCUGAGGGUGAAAGCGGGGGAUCUUCGGACCUCGCGCUAUUGGAGCGGCCGAUGGCAGAUUAGCUAGUUGGUGGGGUAAAGGCCUACCAAGGCGACGACCUGUAGCUGGUCUGAGAGGACGACCAGCCACACUGGGACUGAGACACGGCCCAGACUCCUACGGGAGGCAGCAGUGGGGAAUUUUGGACAAUGGGCGAAAGCCUGAUCCAGCAAUGCCGCGUGUGUGAUGAAGGCCUUCGGGUUGUAAAGCACUUUUGGCGGGAACGAAAAGGACUGUGCCAAUACCACGGUUCGAUGACGGUACCCGCAGAAUAAGCACCGGCUAACUACGUG